UUUCUAUGGUUGACCUCGGAUCAGGUAGGGAUACCCGCUGAACUUAAGCAUAUCAAUAAGCGGAGGAA
rnacentral:rRNA from 1 species